GUUUAUUUGUCAUGCCUACUAGAAUGUCAGCACCUUGGGGACGGCAACUGUAUUCCAUUCUGUUCACUGCAGUAUCCACUGCACCUAAGCAGUGUCUGAAACACAGGAGGCACUCAAUAAAUAUAUCUUGAAUGAAUGAAGAAAUGAAUAGUGCUUAGCAUGGUUCCUGGACAGAAUAAACAACUUGCCUCAGAUGCCACAGAAGUUGACACUGACUGCAUGGUGGAUCAGAGGAGCAUUCCAGUGUCUCAACCCUAAAAGGAAAGGUCUAUCUUCUGAAUUAAAGUGCCUCCACCAUAGGAAAUUCCUGCCCUGUCAGAAAAAAACAACUAGCAAGGAAGCAAGAUUACUGAAAGCACAGAAUUAAACACUCUGGAGGGAAGAACAGUUUUAUGUCAGGAUAACACCAUGUUCUUCAACAGACAAACAAGGCUGGUAGUUAACAUAGAACAGAACUCUUGGCACUUGUUUGACAGACAAAAACCAAAAGCGAAUGGCCCAU